rnacentral:rRNA from 1 species
GCCGGCAGCUAGCUCUCUGAAACUCUCACAUGGUCGCCCACUGUAGCUAAGCAGGGCUGUGCCUGGUCAGUACCUGGAUGAGAGACCAAAUGGGAAAGCUAGGUUGCUGCCGGAA